UACGUAGGAUCCAAGCGUUGUCCGGAUUUACUGGGUGUAAAGGGUGCGCAGGCGGACUGGUUAGUCAGGAGUGAAAUCUCGGCGCUCAACGCCGAAACGUCUUUUGAUACUGCCAGUCUUGAAUAAGCGAGAGAUUCGUGGAAUUCCGAGUGUAGCAGUGAAAUGUGUAGAUAUUCGGAAGAACACCAGUGGCGAGGGCAGCGAAUUGGCGCUUUAUUGACGCUGAGACGCGAAAGCGUGGGGAGCGAACAGG
rnacentral:rRNA from 1 species